CUUGCCUUCAGAUCAAGAUGUAACUUCUCUACUCUCAGCUCCUUUCUAGCGCACAUCUGCCUUCACACCACCACGUCCCACCAUGACGGUAACGCACUAAACCUCUGAACUGCCUGUAGCAAUGGCACCAGCGGACCCUGCACAGAAGCCUCUGAAAGCAGAUGAGCCUCUGAGUCCAAAUAAACCGUCCUCCUUCCAUAGUGCUGCUUGGGAUAAUUUGCUGCAUCCACAGGACUGACUGACAUCACACACAAGACUCUUAUCUAGAGCUAGAACGAGGAUGGCCAACCAGGUGAACAACAGGAAAGCAUGCUCCCGCGCCAACGGUUUGAUAUCUUUGCCCCAUCAAAAGCCAAGAGCUGUGAACUGUGAGAGCAGCUGUCAAAGUCCUUGUUGGAGGCUGAGAGGAAGAGACAGAGACUGAGGAUCAGGGCCACAGCACCGGCAGGCGUGAGUCUGGGCUGCACAGUCCCCUCCCAGCUCAACCCUCUUCACUCCUGUGAGGGAAAGCUAGGCUCUGUGGGCAAGCAGUGCAGACUUGAGACAUGACUUCUGGGCCAGUAUAUCCCCAGGAACAGAUAUCAGGGCCAAAGUACAGUAUAAAUGGGUCCUAAGUGUGACCUGCAGGGAUGUGUCUCAGCUCCUAAGGGAGUAGCUCGCAGGCCAGAGAAGAAGAGAGCCUCCUGGACUCGGGAUCAUUGAUCUCCAUUCAUGUCAUGGCCAUUCCUUCAAGCAGUAAGAAAAAACUUCCAGAAGAUCUCGGGCUUAACAUGAAAAAGUAACGUGGUUGCCUCGUGUCAUACAUGUUGACCUUUGCUGCAGACUUCAGGUUAUUCAGCUUCCUCUUGAGAAUUUCAACGUCUUCCUCUAAGAGCCUGACCCUCAAAUGAAGCACUGUGCCUGCCUGGCUGCUGUGUGGAGCCAUAACAACAGAUCUCUGCAAAACUCUUCUCAGGCUGAUGACUGGACUGCCCUUGUGUUCCAGAGGCAGUGAACAAGGAUCUGGCAUUGUCUAUGUGGGAAGGAAAAGAAUGCUUGAACCAUUUAUGCUGGAGCAUAACGAAUACCUGUGGAGGGGAAUCCCUGCCUCUCUCUGCCACUGCCAUGUUGGUUAGGCUCAACUCGUUCCUACAUCUCCAACACCACUAUGUUCUCAUUUACUUUCUCCUGGGUGACCACAAUGGUCUGAUUUCUCUUCUACAUCUCCAUCCCCACUGGGUUCUCACUUACCUUCUUCUGGAUGACCAUGGUAGUCUGAUUUCUCUCCCCGUCUCUACUCUUCCUCCCCUCUAUUCCCACCCUAUUUCCAACCCAGCAGUCAUAUUAGUAUUUUUCUACUGCAAAUCUGAAAGUGAGAGCCUCCAUUCAUGGCUCUUAGGUUCCCAUCCUUCUCUGAAUCAUGAAGAAUUCUGAUCAGAACUUGAAGGUCCCUGGCCCCUCCCUGCCUCUGUAGUUUACCAUGUUUCUCUUUCCCCUUUUCACCCAAUAGCUAUGGAACCAGACUUUUCCUUUGCACAAUGACGCCAAGCUAUUCCCUGACUCUGGAAUAUUCCCCCUUUCCAGUCUCUCAGAUUGCACGCAUUGGCUUUUAGAUCUAGGAGACUUUCCCAGCUUCAGAUCUGGGCAGGUCUUUCGGCAUAGCUCUUGUAGAACCUUGUACGGUUUCUGUACAAUCUGUGGUAGUCCAUCCGAUGGGUGGUUUAGGGCAUGUCUGCGUGUUCACCGACAUGUCCCUGUGAUACAGUACAGUACCUGGCACUAGGAAGACCCAGACACAUCUUGGGAAAGGCAAUGAAUGUGAGCCAAGGAUGGUUGUGAGGAGGGUCCUGGCUUUUUUCCCCAGUUUUUCACUUCUAAGCUGUGUGGUCUUGGUUACCGUGUCUUGAUCUCAGUUUUCUCACCUAACAAGGUGAGCAAUGGAGCUGGGUUGUAGCUCAGUAGGCAGAGCACUCGCCUGGCACAAUGAGCCCCUGGCUGCAUCCCCAGCACUGUGUAAACUAGAUGUGGGAUGCAUGACUGCACUCCCAGAAUUCCAGCAGUGAAGGCAAGAUCAAACGAAGUACAAGGCUGUCCUCUAUUACAGAGCAGUUCGAGGACAACCCAGGCUGUAUGAG